UACGGAGGAGGCAAGCGUUAUCCGGAAUUAUUGGGCGUAAAGCGUCCGUAGGUGGCUCUUCAAGUCUGCUGUCAAAGAGUGGGGCUUAACCCUGCAAAGGCAGUGGAAACUGAAAGGCUAGAGAGCCGUAGGGGUAGAGGGAAUUCCCGGUGUAGCGGUGAAAUGCGUAGAGAUUGGGAAGAACACCAGCGGCGAAAGCGUGCUACUGGGUCUGCACUGACACUGAGGGACGAAAGCUAGGGGAGCGAAAGGG
rnacentral:rRNA from 1 species